rnacentral:lncRNA from 1 species
CCUAGAAUUUUGAAAUCACGAAAUGUAGAAUGAAUUUAUUUCUGUUUCAGCCUUCACGUGGACACAGUGUUUCUAGUUUAUGGUUUUAUAUAAUGUUUAGUAUGAAUUAUUUAUGUGAUGAUUAGCAUGAAUAUUUUAUAUCAGUGUGAUGGGUAUCAAAAUCUCGUCUGUGCUUAGGGCCUCCAACAGUCUUCAUCUGGCCCUGAGCAUCUGGCGGCUCUUCUAUCCUGCCACCCGUCCGUCGUGUGCAAAACCCCUCCUCGGACUGUCCUUGUGCCCCACAUCCCACAAAUGCAGACCCCUCUUCGGAAGGGUAGAGGAUGCACAGGACCGUUGCCAAAAGCAGGCCUGAUCAGGUACAGCCUCGCCCACUGAACCGCCUCUUCCUGUCCACUGCAGUGAAGGAAAUGUUAAGUUCCAGAUGGUGCAGCUGCAAAAUGGGGGAAUGUCCAACAUUCUGGGUACCUGAGGAUCAAUGACACACAUUGGACAUGAGCAGGAACUUGGGUGUUGAGUCUCAAAUUUGAGAUCAACCGUUACCACAGCAAAACCAGCCUAUGCUGCUGGCUAACAUACCAGCCCAGUAAGAGUACUCCCUGAGACUUCCCAGAGCUCUCAGAAAAGGCUCCACAUCUCUCUUUCUCCGGCACUGUAAGCACAUUUUGAGACAUCUUCAGCCUGGAACUUCCAACAGCCAUCUUGUCAUCGUGAAGUGAGGGUUUAUCUGAAAAGAAAGCCACUCAGGAGCGAGAGAUGAAGAAAAAAGAAUCUUGUCGACUUUGUUUGAAUUCUUGGAUACAUUCGGGCACAAAGUCUACCUGACCCUUUGAAUCUCUCCACAAUGUGAGAGAGACAUUUCCAUUUUUGCUUAAACUAAUCUGAACUGUGUUUCUGCCCUUUGCAGUGGCAAGAAUGCUCCCAAUCCCUCUCAUCUGAUGGACUCAUGUGGCAACAUAGAAUUAUCCUUGCCACAGAAAGCCAGACCCCUGAAUAUCAGAGUGGGUCCCUCAACACAAUUUGCUGCCACUAGAGACUAUAAUUCUGUAUUCUAUAUGCAUGUCCCCCAUUGAAGUAUAAUUACAUCCCUCUUUCCCAUUUCCAGAGAAGGAAGGGUGUGUGACCGUUAGGAGCAGGGAGACAACAUAAUCAUCCAAUCACUAAAGGGAAGAAUUCACAGUGAUCAAAAAUAAAACAAAGGGAAAGUGAAUUAUUGAUGAUUUC